GAUGAACGCUGGCGGCGUGCUUAACACAUGCAAGUCGAACGAAGCACUUUAUUUGAUUUCCUUCGGGACUGAUUAUUUUGUGACUGAGUGGCGGACGGGUGAGUAACGCGUGGGUAACCUGCCUUGUACAGGGGGAUAACAGUUGGAAACGGCUGCUAAUACCGCAUAAGCGCACGGCAUCGCAUGAUGCAGUGUGAAAAACUCCGGUGGUAUAAGAUGGACCCGCGUUGGAUUAGCUAGUUGGUGAGGUAACGGCCCACCAAGGCGACGAUCCAUAGCCGACCGGAGAGGGUGACCGGCCACAUUGGGACUGAGACACGGCCCAAACUCCUACGGGAGGCAGCAGUGGGGAAUAUUGCACAAUGGGCGAAAGCCUGAUGCAGCGACGCCGCGUGAGCGAAGAAGUAUUUCGGUAUGUAAAGCUCUAUCAGCAGGGAAGAUAAUGACGGUACCUGACUAAGAAGCACCGGCUAAAUACGUG
rnacentral:rRNA from 1 species